rnacentral:rRNA from 1 species
UACGUAGGGUGCGAGCGUUAAUCGGAAUUACUGGGCGUAAAGGGCGCGCAGGCGGCUCGACAAGUCAGAUGUGAAAGCCCCGGGCUCAACCUGGGAAUGGCAUUUGGGACUGUCGGGCUAGAGUUCGGGAGAGGUGGGUGGAAUUCCCAGUGUAGAGGUGAAAUUCGUAGAUAUUGGGAAGAACACCGGUGGCGAAGGCGGCUCACUGGACCGAGACUGACGCUGAGGCGCGAAAGCGUGGGGAGCAAACAGG